AAUGAGCAGAGCAGAAUCUAUUCGCGCUACGAUUGUGGCGUUUCAGCGUAGUUCGACAUCAGUUCCAUUCAGUUCCGAGUUUCGAGAAGUUGCGUCGUUGACUGACGUUCGGCAGGCACUUCCUUCACGUUCUCGUUUGUUGUGUUGUUUUAUUUAUUACGGGGUGAAAAACAUUUUUGAAAUCGGGGUGGUGGUGCGAGAACGACGGUGCCCCGAUCAAAAAAAAAGCAAGAAAUCCAAAUGAACACGGAUUUAUGGCGACGCGGACACUUCAACUCUGCCUUGUGUUUGCAGUAGGAUUUUACAGGGGCCCUGUGCCAGCUUCAGCAGGAUCAAACAGGGCCGUGCCGAUAGAGCCGGCAACAAAUCAGGCCAAUACCAGACCCAAUGUGACCCUAUGGUUCUCGGAGGAACCGAGUGACGUCAUCGUAACGCGUGGACAGGACGCCAUCUUAAGAUGCGUGGCAGAAUCUACCACAGGAAACGUCACAAUUGUGUGGCUCCACGAAAACUCCCCCGUGUCACCGGAGGACCAAAGAUGGCUGAUCCGGGGCUCAGUUUUGAAGGUGCUGACCGUCAACGGGGGUAAAAGGGGGUCCCUCGGGAAAUUUAAUACCGGCGAAUACAGUUGUUUGGCGAAGAACAGUUACGGGGCGAUUUUGUCUAGGGUCGCUAGGGUCAGGGUCGCUUCAAUAGACAAAGAAAUCACCAUAAAAGGUGACGAUACAGUGCUACAGUCGCAACCGUUGUAUCUACAGUGUAACAUCCAUUCGAUCCCCCUAGCGGAGAUCCACUGGGAGUUCAAUAAUCUACCUCUAACGAAUGACAAACGAUAUGUUCCUUUGCCUCAUGGCGCUUUGUUAUUAAGAAACACUAAUUUAGAUGACUCAGGAAACUAUAGAUGUGUAGCUACCAACUCGAUUCUCGAAAAAAACAAGACUAAAGACUUUCACGUAAACGUCUUAGUACCUGGCCAAGCAGCGAUGACUCCCUCUAUCAUUAUAGCAAACACUUCCAACAGUCGACUGUUGGUAGAGGGAGAUAGCAUCGAAUUUAUUUGUAUAGCCACUGGGUGGCCUUUGCCUACAGUAAAAUGGAUCAACAGUAAAAAUGCUUCGAUAAGUAACUCUUCUUCCAGUUCGAUAUCUUAUUUGACGUUUAAAAACGCUGAUAUAAACGAUUCCGACAAUUACACUUGUGUCGCUUCCAAUGGGAUAGAGCGAGUAAGCGAGACUGUCAACGUUCAAGUUUAUCAGAGGCCUUUUUUUAAUGUUACGCCGGUUUCGGUCGUUUCGCCAUCGGCUAGAACAGUCAGGAUGGAUUGUCAAGCCGUCGGGGUUCCUCAGCCCAAAAUAACUUGGCUCAAAGACGGACAUCCCUUAAAACCGGAAGUGCGAAUCAGAAAACAAGCGACUGGAAUUGUGUUUACCCAUACCCUUUCCACAGACACCGGUGUUUAUCAGUGCGUAGCGGCUAAUCCGGUGGGAAAAGUGUGGUCAACCGCCCAAAUCGAGAUAAAUAAUUCCCAAAGUCCCAGUCCGCCCGAAAACGUCCAAUGUAGGCCUUACGACGAGGAUAAAAUUUGUUUAACGUGGAAAAACCCGGCUAAUGCCACCGUGAAGGCCUAUAGCAUAUAUUCCUCUUAUAUCAAUUCCGAAGGUUUAGACGUACUGGGCGAAGAAUACUUAAUACCAGUGGACCCCACAAAGAAACCACCGAUAGCAGACAAUCCUCAUAAGAUGGUCGAAGGUUUGCAUCCGAACACUAAUUACACGUUUUUCGUGAGGUUAUAUACGAAUAAAGCGAGCGAUUACGCUAAGAAAGUAACGUGCCAACCAGGAUUAAAAGGGUCCAGAAAUCUGGAAAUAGAAACGAUAAAUAAAACGGCAUUGGCCCUGAAAUGGUCGGAAAUUAGUUCGGAUAUACUUUGUAAUGGAACUCGAGAUCCUUAUGUCGUCCAGUGGUAUUUGGACGGGAGUAGCGAGCACGUUUUCACUUAUGUAACGUCACAAAGGAAUUUCAGUUUGUUUGGUCUUCUACCUGGAAACGAUUAUUGCAUCAACGUAGUAACACAAAACAACCCAAAAGGCGAACUCUGUACCCUCUACACGAUGCCGAGCCUCCAUAGCGAAGAAAACGACACCAUGGACGUAUCAGAAGAACUGAGAGCACCGCAGUACUUACUAGAAGACAGUACGAAUUCGACCAGUACGAAAAUAACCUGGGACAGAAUUCCGGGGGCUAAAUUUUACAGUUUGUGUUAUACAGAGGUGGGAGCGGACAGGAGGUGCGAGCAGGGAGACUUUUUCAAAAGCUAUUCGACCAAGUUUACCGUGACAAAAUUAAAACCGGAUACGGAGUACGUGUUUAGGGUGAGGGCACACGAUUCGAGCAACGCUCCCGGCAUUUUGUCCGAUGAAUUGAGGGUGCGCACAAGAGGAGAUGUGCCCUCACCGGUAACAAACCUAAAAUAUCUCGGCCUAAACUCUACGACCGUGUGUAUCUACUGGCGCCCUCCGUUAAUCAAGAACGGCAAAUUAAAGAACUAUCUGGUCUCGUACACCACCGACAAGAAUUGGUCUUUGGAGGGACUGGUGGACGUGAAUAUAUCCGCUAGCGAACAAACCAGUUCGGACAGCUGUAAAGGUGACGAAAACGAUGAUGUGUUAUCGAUGGUGUUGACUAAUUUAUCGAGCGAUCACACGUAUUUGGUGAUGGUGAGGGCGGAGAAUGCGGUCGGAUUGGGAAAACCGUCGCCGCCGAUUUUCGUGCGGAUUCUGGACGUUUCCGGUGGGGCUGAUGAGAUGAACGGCUCGGAUAUGGUUGCCAGUAACCAAAGAUUCGGUAUAAUCCUGGGAGUCCUAAUUUCAAUCUGCUGCAUCAUGUGUUGCGUAGCCCUAAUUUUGCUGCGACGACGCUGUAUGAAACGAAGAGCGUCGGCCAGGGAUCGAAUGGACGCCGCGAGUAAUUAUUGCCCCGCGGUAGCCCGAUAUACGACGCAUUUGGGUACUGUACAAGUGAGGGCGGAACAGCCGUGUUCAUUGAACGAACACGAGGUGGAGCAUUUGGUGCCCGAAGAACAUACCUCUCAUAUACCGCCGGUUACUGUGGACCAUCUGGAUACUAAGGGAGCCUCCAACUUACCGAACGGGUACAUGAACGGUUCUCACAAGCACCACGGAGCGAACGGACACGCAUUAACCGGACACGUGCACAUAACAGAAAACCCUCAAUUUUACGCUAUCGAAUGUAACGGAAACAACCUGUCGAAAAACAAAUCGGAGCCACUUCUACGCCGCUACGAGGAAGACUCCAAUUCCAACCUGAAAACCUCGAGAUUCCAAGAGUUUUACAAACUUUUCGACGCGAAAAAGUUCAACAACAAAGGGUCACCGUACGCCUCCCCCUGUUCCAAAUCCAAAGACGCCUCGUUGAACACCACCCAGAUCACUUUCCUGGACGAUUCCGCUACCAGUAGGAGACUCAGCCCGUUAUUGGAACCUAACGGUUAAAAGAGAUCAAUCAGAGAUAGGAGAGACGGGUCUGAUUCGAAAUAGGUGAGCGAUCAUCGGAACCAGCAACGAAGUUAUUUACACAUUGUAAUCGUAACAUUCCAUAGAACGACGGUGCCAGAUUAUCGACCGGAGUAUACUUAAAACACAAAGCAACAGAGAAUCUCAUUAACUGGGUUUUAACAGCUAAUUCGAGUUUAAAAGAUUUAUGAAAUAAAAUUGUACCUGACCUUUAUAACAUAUACACUUAGUAACAUUUUGUAUAGUUUAAGAUUUAAUUCGAGAGUUGUUUGUAUUGGUGUGUGUGUGUGAGUGAGUGCGUGAGGGUAUUUGUUAAGUGUUGUUAUUAGGUGGAGUGAGUGAGAGGGUUGUUUAUUAUAUUUUGAUGCCCUAUAGAAGAAUAUUUAUUUAACCAUUGUAUAUGAGAAUUGUAAUGUAUUCUAGGCAUGAAAAAUGUGGACAAUCAUACUAAGAGCCCUUAAAACGACAAAUACCGAGCAUCCUUAUGUGGGGAAUCGCAAUUUACUAUUAUGUCCAAGAGCAAUCCAUAUUAUACCAAUUCUCGAAUAUAAGUUAUAUGGAAUAUUUAUUAUACCGGACAGACAUAAUUUUUUUUAAUGCCUUAACAUUUUUUUUUUACAGUUUUUAAUGGUAUCAAAAUAUAAUUUAUAACCCUGUAUAUAGAUUCUGGGGAAAAUAUGUCAAACAUCUAGGUUUUUGUCAAAACAUCAUAGAGUGCAAAAUAAUUGCAGAUUCGUUAACAUCCUUCUAGUAAAUUUGAAAAAUACCAGGACAAAAUUAAUUUUAUAAAUUCCUCGUGUAUUAAUCAAAAAAAGAUAAAUAUGUGUAAAGCUCUAGAUGGGUUAUAACAAUUUUUCUCAAAAAAUCGAUUGUCUUUUCUUGGUUUCCUGUAAUAUACAAUAGGUUUGUUUCUUCUUGGUUUAUGAACGUUAUUUUGUAAUUUUCUAGGCAUUGGUAGUAACUUCCAGGCAUUUAAAGCCACUUCUUCUUUUUAAACUGUUAAUCGUUUCUUAACCCAAUGGCGAAGGCUCCAUAUUAUCAAAAAGUUCUCGUUUCUAGUGGAAAGCUUUCAUGUAAGUACUGUAACUCUGCUUAAUUGCUUGACUAGUCGCGACCGAUUUACUUGUAUACUUUGUCUUGAUUAAAUAAUGAAUGCGCCCCUUAUUCUCAAUUCUAGGCAUAUAGGGUAAUUUUUUAAUAUAUUCCAGGCUCUUGAGACAAUUUUGUAAGUAUUUAGCCUGGGCAAAGUAAUAGAAAACUUCCAUAUUCCUGAAUAAUAGAAUAAAUUCUGCCAGGUCUUUGUUUCAGAUAGUAUUAGUUGAAAAAAGUUCAAUUUCGACAUCGUCCAAUUCUGCCGUACAAAGCAUCAAAGUGGCUUACUACAAUUAAGUUAUAUACGAAAAAAUCAAGUUCUGGUUUUUUAUUUUGUAUUAAUUCUUUCAUGCAUUGAUAUUAUUAAGAAACAAUACUGAUUUUGGUAAAAUAAAAAGAAUAGUGACUUGUAGGAUUCCAUAAAGAAUCAGUUGAUGUACAAAGACUUCUAUGCUUUGGAGGGCAAAAUUGUAAAAAUUGGUGAUUUAUCCAUUUUUUCAAUAAACAUGCCUGGCCAAAACUAAAAAUUCCAUCAACUGCCUGGAAGAAAUUAUUAAGUUUCCAGUUGUCUAAUAGAAAUCAAACCGCGAUUGCUGUUGUUAUUUGGUCUAGGCAUUCGAAGUCCCAUUUUACAUCUUCCAGAUAGUUUUUACAUCAUUCCAGCGUUUAAAAGCUAUUUUUUAUGUUAUGCAGGCUUAUAGAGUAAUAUGGUGUAUCUUCCAGGCAUUUUCUAUAUAUUUCACACUUUGGGGGUCAUUUUUUACUGAAGGGUAAAUUUUAAGGUAAUUCCAGGAUUUUCAAUUUUCUUCCUGGUUUGUCAAGAGUUUUCCUGUCAACCCGCUUGACAUUAUUUUGGAAUUUUCCAGGUAUUCAAAGCCACUUCUUCCUCGUUUUGUUCUGGAGGGUCAAUUUUGCAUCGUUUCUCGACCCAAUGCUAAUUACCAAAAAAAUUAUCAUUACUAGCAGAAAGAUUUUAUGUAAUUAACUCUAACUCUGCUUUGAUGUGUUUCAGCCCAAUUGUCUUGGUAGUCAAGGCCGAUUUCCUUGCAUACUUUGUCUUGAUUAAAUGGUGACGUCUUCCCUUUAUUAAAAUUCUCAAUUCCAGGCAUAUAGGGUAAUUUUUUAAUAUAUUCCAGGCUUUUGAGGCAAUUUCGUAAGUAUUUAUCCUAGGCAAAGUAAUAGGAAACUUUCAUAGUCCUGAAUAAUAGAAUAAAUUCUGCCAGGUCCUGGAAUGAAUCAUUACAGUUCAUGUUUCAAAUAGUAUUAGUUGGAAAAAGUUAAAUUUCGGAAUCACUCAAUUCUGCCAUACAAAGCAUCAAAGUGGCUUACUACAAUUAAGUUAUAUACGAAAAAAUCAAGUUCUGGUUUUUUAUUUUGUAUUAAUUCUUUCAUGCAUUGAUAUUAUUAAGAAACAAUACUGAUUUUGGUAAAAUAAAAAGAAUAGUGACUUGUAGGAUUCCAUAAAGAAUCAGUUGAUGUACAAAGACUUCUAUGCUUUGGAGGGCAAAAUUGUAAAAAUUGGUGAUUUAUCCAUUUUUUCAAUAAACAUGCCUACAUAAAACUAAAAAUUCCAUCAACUGCCUGGAAGAAAUAAUUAAGUUUCCAGUUGUCUAAUAGAAAUCAAACCGCGAUUGCUGUUGUUAUUUGGUCUAGGCAUUCGAAGUCCCAUUUUACAUCUUCCAGAUAGUUUUUACAUCAUUCCAGCGUUUAAAAGCUAUUUUUUAUGUUAUGCAGGCUUAUAGAGUAAUAUGGUGUAUCUUCCAGGCAUUUUCUAUAUAUUCCACACUUUGGAGGUCAUUUUUUACACCUUUUAAUAACUGAAGGGUAAAUUUUAAAUUAAUUUCAGGAUUUUCAAUUUUCUUCCUGGUUUGUCAAGAGUUUUCCUGUCAACCCGCUUGACAUUAUUUUAGAAUUUUCCAGGUAUUCAAAGCCACUUCUUCCUCGUUUUGUUCUGGAGGGUCAAUUUUGCAUCGUUUCUUGACCCAAUGCUAAUUAUUAAAAAAAUAUCAUUACUAGCAGAAAGAUUUUAUGUAAUUAACUCUAACUCUGCUUUGAUGUGUUUCAGCCCAAUUGUCUUGGUAGUCAAGGCCGAUUUCCUUGCAUACUUUGUCUUGAUUAAAUGGUGACGUCUUCCCUUUAUUAAAAUUCUCAAUUCCAGGCAUAUAGGGUAAUUUUUUAAUAUAUUCCAGGCUUUUGAGGCAAUUUCGUAAGUAUUUAUCCUAGGCAAAGUAAUAGGAAACUUUCAUAGUCCUGAAUAAUAGAAUAAAUUCUGCCAGGUCCUGGAAUGAAUCAUUACAGUUCAUGUUUCAAAUAGUAUUAGUUGGAAAAAGUUAAAUUUCGGAAUCACUCAAUUCUGCCAUUCAGCAUCAAAGUGGCUUACUACAAUUAAGUUAUAUACGAAAAAAUCAAGUUCUGGUUUUUUAUUUUGUAUUAAUUCUUUCAUGCAUUGAUAUUAUUAAGAAACAAUACUGAUUUUGGUAAAAUAAAAAGAAUAGUGACUUGUAGGAUUCCAUAAAGAAUCAGUUGAUGUACAAAGACUUCUAUGCUUUGGAGGGCAAAAUUGUAAAAAUUGGUGAUUUAUCCAUUUUUUCAAUAAACAUGCCUGGCCAAAACUAAAAAUUCCAUCAACUGCCUGGAAGAAAUAAUUAAGUUUCCAGUUGUCUAAUAGAAAUCAAACCGCAAUUGCUGUUGUUAUUUGGUCUAGGCAUUCGAAGUCCCAUUUUACAUCUUCCAGAUAGUUUUUACAUCAUUCCAGCCUUUAAAAGCUAUUUUUUAUGUUAUGCAGGCUUAUAGAGUAAUAUGGUGUAUCUUCCAGGCAUUUUCUAUAUAUUUCACACUUUGGGGGUCAUUUUUUACUGAAGGGUAAAUUUUAAGGUAAUUCCAGGAUUUUCAAUUUUCUUCCUGGUUUGUCAAGAUUUUUCCUGUCAACCCGCUUGACAUUAUUUUGGAAUUUUCCAGGUAUUCAAAGCCACUUCUUCCUCGUUUUGUUCUGGAGGGUCAAUUUUGCAUCGUUUCUCGACCCAAUGCUAAUUAUUAAAAAAAUUAUUACUAGCAGAAAGAUUUUAUGUAAUUAACUCUAACUCUGCUUUGAUGUGUACCAGCCCAAUUGUCUUGGCUAGUCAAGGCCGAUUUUCUUGCAUACUUUGUCUUGAUUAAAUGGUGACGUCUUCCCUUUAUUAAAAUUCUCAAUUCCAGGCAUAUAGGGUAAUUUUUUAAUAUAUUCCAGGCUUUUGAGGCAAUUUCGUAAGUAUUUAGCCUAGGCAAUUAAUAGGAAACUUUCAUAUUCUUGAAUAAUAGAAUAAAUUCUGCCAGUUUAGGUUUUGUUAUUUUGUUUUGUAUUAAUUCUCUCAUGCUAAACUUGCAUUGAUAUUGAUUGAUUAAAACUCAUAGUAAACUUUGCAUUGACACUAUUAACAAACUAUACUUGUUUUAUAAAAUAAAAAGAAUAGUGACUGGUAGAAUUUCAUAUAAACCAUUGAUAUACUCAAUUUUAACAAAAAAGUGAAUUAACCACUUUUAUGCUUUGGACGGCAGAAUUGUAAAAAAUCAAUGAACAUGCCUGGACGAAACCAAAAAUUACUUCAAUUGCCUGGAAGAAAUAAUAUAGUUUCCAUUUGUGUGGAUAUUAGAAAACAUACCACAAUUUCCUGGAUGAAAACUCGUAAGCUCUGACUUAAAAAUUAGAGAUUUUAGGCCAUAGCUUUAUUUGAGCUUUUCUUUCUUAUUCCGUAACGCCCUGUAUAAAAUAAGUACUGCAAUCUCCUGGAAAAAAUCAGUACAAUGCAUUAUUCCAGACAGUGUUGAAAAAGUGAACUUUUUAAACCAUUUUAGUGUGAAAAUUCUUGCAUUUUUUAGUUUUUUAGUAAACUGCCUGAAUGCAACGAGAAAUCAGUCCAACUUCCUGGAAGAAAUCACUACAACUCACUUAUCUUUCUAUUAGGUCUUGUGGACAUUCCAAAAAAGUUCUUUCACAUUUCUAGCAUUAUUUCGUAAAUCUUCAAGGCAUUUUCAAUGUAUUCAAGGCUUUCAGAAGUGUUCCCUCAAUGAUUCCAGGCAUACGAAGUCCUUUUUCUAAUAUUGAGAGCAGUACAAUUCAUUUUUUAUUGCUAACAGACUUUUGGAAUAAUUUUUAACGCAUUUUAAGUGAAUUAUUAAAGCUACUACUAUCCCUGGACUUUUAAAUUAAUUUCUUAUAAAUUCCAGGCUUUUGGAGCGAUUAUCCAUUUUGUUCCUGUGAAGUUAUAUCGUUUUUUCUUCCAGGAUUCUACUUUUUCCAGGUUCAAUGUUUUAUAUAUUUGGGCACCUAUUGCCUUUACUAGUGAAGACUGAUUUCCAUGCAUACUUUCUCUCGAUUAAAUGGGGGAGGCGCCCCAUUAUUAACAUUCUCAAUUCCAGGCAUGUAAGGUCGUUUUUUAUAUAUUAAAAAUAUACGGGGUGUUACAAAAUAAGAUCUAGAAGAAAAGUCAAAUAAAGAUAUGUCCAAAAUUCCUUAACUUUUGAGCUACAGUGUUCAUCUUAAAAAAAGUAACCUAAUCGUUUAAGUACACCUAGAACUUCUUGAAUUAGAUUUGUUAUAUUUUAAUGGCAAAAUAAUGAAAAAAUUAUUAAAUAAAUAAAUUUAAUAAUUUUUUCAAGUAAUAAAUUGACGAAAAAAUUCAAAAAAUCAAAUUUGCUUCAAAAACUGAAUGGGGGUUAUGAAGAUAUUUGUUAUUUUACGGAAAAGCAAUGGCGUACAUAAUAUUUUUCAAAAAUAUCAAGUCAACGUUCCCGUACGGACACCACAGGCUAAAGUUUAAAAAUCUCUUACAUGAAAAAAUGGCUGUAGAUACUCACAACGGGUAUGUGCUAAAUUUCUCAAACAAAUGUAAGAAAGUUCAAAAAUUAAGAAGACACAGCUUUAAUUGAACUUUUAUUGUUAAAAUGACCUAAGGAUCAGUAACGUCCUGUAUACAAUAAAUACCGCAAUUUCCAGGAAGAAAUCAUUACAAUUCAUUGUUAAAAAAGUGAGUCUUAAAUAAUAAUAAUAAUAACGUUUAUUAAUUCCCAAUACAAUUAACAAUUCAAGAUGUACAUUGCUGUAAAUGAUAAUAAUAUAAUUAUGGGAUUAAAUGGCCUACUUUUCAGCAUCCUAUAAAUUAAGAAGGGGCUGUUGAAGCUACGAAGUGAGCUGUUUAUUUAUUUUUGAUUUUUUUUUAUAAUCAUAUGUAUAAGAAUCUAUUUACAAAAUAAACAGGGAGAAAGAGAGAAAUAGAACAGAAAGAGAGAUCGAAAGAAAACAAGGCUUAAAAAAAGAAGAGGAAGAGAGACGAGAUAACACUAUAAAUGCAGCGUUCACACGUCACAUAUUGUCUAAUUAAAUAGGUUACAUAUUAAACAAACAAAUCAUUUUGUUAUGAAAAUUCUUGCAGCUUUUCAAUGUACUGCCUGGACUAAACAAGGAAUCAAUCCAACUGCCUGGAAGAAAUACUAAAUUUUCCAGUUGCCUGGAUAACAUAAAUGAUACCUGGAACAAAUCACUGCAACUCAUCAUCAUUCCAAAAGGUCUUUUGAAUAUUCGAAAGAAGCCUUUAGGGGUCAUGCAGACUUUUAUACUAUCUCGUGUGUUUUCCAGGAAUAUUCAAGGCGUUUCCUGAAUUUAUUCCAGGCAUCUGAAGUUCUUUUCUUAAUAUUCAAAGCAGUUGAAUUAAUCGUUUUUCUUCCAUGUGUUUUUUAAGUCAUAUUAAGAUUUUAGGAGUAAUUUUUACCUUUAUUUAACCUCUUCAGUCCCAAGGAAUUGUUUUACUUUUUUUUUGUGAAACUUUUAAUAAAAUAGGUUUAUUAGGAUUUUAAAAAAAAAUUUACAAAAAAAAAAUACUACAGAAAAAAAUAUGACAUGUCCAGUAUUUUGGACAAUUGGACUUAAGUCUCUAAUUAUGAAACUCAAAAAAACAUUGCCUCUCUGGAGAAAUGCAUAAAUAAAGCUUACAUUUCACACAAAAAAAUCUUGUUUUCUUUUGUUGUUGGAAUUUUUGUUAUUAACACUGCAUAUUGGAAGAUGUUCAUUACCAGUGGUCCUGACAUCUUUUGGUGGCAUCUCCGACUUCUUGCAUUUUUUAGCAGGUUGACUUGUUUCUUCAUCUAAUGAAGUAGUUAGAUCUUGAAAACCUUUUGCUUGUGCCCCAAGGGAAGAGAUUUCCCGAUAUACAGUUUAAAUUCAAGUAAAUCCAUGAUAGAGUUUUUUCUAUUUCCACGAGCGAAGUAGUUUUGGCGGUAUUCAACCCACGAAUUUGUAAUUGCCAAGUCCACAAAAUGCUAGAAAACUCUUACCGGCCAUUUUUUUGUUCGCAUACAAAUGCGAUAGUAAGAUAUUAGUCUAUCACACAUGUCCACUCCUCCCAUAGAAUGGUUGUAACUAGUGACAGACUUUGGACAUGAAACAAGAAGGUACUUAUUAUUUUUCUUGUCCCAUCUUCGUACUUCUCUACUGGCGCAGAGCCUGAAGAUGUUGAUGCCAUUGUUACUGAUCUAUUGUCCAUCCAUUUCAGAAUGGUCAUUUUUUUGUCUUCUCGCAUAAACUCGUCAAAAGAACCACGGCCAUUCGAGAGGAGCUCUUUAUCAUUUUUUAUUUUGCUCCUAAGAUCUCGCGGAAUUCUGUUGUUCAUAAUUGUCCCUGUUCCCAAAAUUCCUUUUUUUGUAAAUGAUCCAGUAGCUUGACUGAAGUAAAGUAACGAUCAAAAUAAAUUAUGUGCCCUGGCGACAAAUCUUCUGAAAGCUUCUUUACAACCGAUCCACCUAUUCCUAAAUUUUGAUCGGGAGAACCAUCUGGCCAAGUUUUUGCACCUUGAUAAAUCAUAAAAUCUGAAACCAGUCCGGAAGGUGUAGCUAAAACAAAAUUUUUGAGUCCUACUGCAUUUGGCUUGUUUUUAACGUCGGAGAGCAGUAGUGCCUGUGAAGGGGAUCAUCUGCUCGUCGAUGCUCAAUUCUUUGCUCUUUGGUAAAGUAAUACACUUUUUACGAAUCGCAUCGAUGAUAGGUUGAACUAUCCAUAGCCGAUUUGACUGCUUUACCUCAUUUGAAACACUAAGAUUGCUAACAACAUGUAGAAAAUUUCUUAAUUUAAAAAUACGGUCUCUAGGUAGCUGAGUAAUGCAAGAUAUUUCAAUUCCCUUCAUAAAAUACAACCGAAGCCGUGGAAGUCCAAAAAUGCUCAUUAAAAUAUGUAUUCCAGUCAACAUUCGAUAUUCUUUGGCUGUUGCCUUUAGUGUUUUUUUUUUCAUUUGCUUGCAUGGCACGAAUAUUACUUUCUUCUGUUCUGAUAAAUUUUCCCAAAAAUAAUCUGGAAGGUAUUCAUAAAAAUAGUUCAGGGGUGUCCCAUACUCAUGAUCAUCUUGUAACUGCCAUUCCGGAUCAAGGUAGACAUCUUCUCGACUUUCAAAAACAUUUCUUUUCCAUUUUACUUCUGCGGUUUUAUUUUUUAUUUGCUCCUGGAGAACCUGCUCUUUUAUUCUGGAUAAGGGAACAUUAUCGUCAUCAGACUCCUCUUCAAUGGUAUCAGAAACCGAAUCUGCGUCUGCCGGCGCCGGCUCGUCGUCUUCAUUAUCAUUUGCCUUAAUUGAUUCACUGUUUUCGGUGGUGAUUUCCUCAUCAUCAUCGCUCACGUAGAAGUCACUGUCAUUUAGAAUCUCUUCAACAUCUUUAUCCGUCAGUGGUUGCAUACCAUCUUAAAAAAAAACGAAAUAAUAACAACAAUAAAAUUUAAAAUUUUUGGGUAAAAAGUAAAAACUUGAACUAAAUACAGUCCCGACGCGACGUCCAAAAUACUGCACAAAAUCAAAAGCCGAACAAUCUGUAUGCACGUCCAGUCCGCUGCACGGCGGGCUCCAAAUCACGUUAAGUCGUCGUGAGCCCGUACUAAUAUAUUUUGAAAAAUGUACAGCGGGCUGGACGUGUGAACUGAAGAGGUUAUUUCAUUUCAAGCGAAUUACUACAGUUACUCCAAUUCCUGAAGUUUUGAAUUUAUUUCUUAUAAAUUCCAGGCUUUUGGACCCAUUUUCCAUUUUAUAUAACUUCCUUUCUUCCAGGAAUGCCAAUGUUCUUUUCUACAUUUUCCUAUAUUUUUUAAUAUAUUUCAGCCCUUUUAAGGUCAUUUUGUAUGUCUUCCACACUAUUAGGGAAACUUUAAUUUAUUCCCGGAAUUUGGGCUUUCUUCCUCGUCUGUGUAGUAUUUUGGGGCAUUUUGGUGCUAUUUUUUACAAUUUCAAGAAGUCCUGAUGUAUUAAACAAAAAUGGUUAUAAAAUGCAAAGUGAUAAAUAAUGUCUUGCUCUACUAUAGUUUAUUUAUGAACGACUGAAAAUUUGAAUGACAUAUUUGCCUCAAAGUCGAUAUACCACCACCUCUGAACCUAUUAAAAUACUAUUCUAGUUAUAAUAAGAGAGAAAAAAAAGCGGUGUUGAUUGUUCAAAAUGAAAAAAAAAAUUAUAAACGUUACCAUAUUUAUUAUUAUAUAGGCGUCGCUGUUUGUCAGUGUUUUUUGAACGUUAUGUGUUCAGAUAUCUGUGUAGUAUUUACAAUGGUAUUGUAUUUUGUAGAUGUACUCCCCCUCCCCCUCGAUUACCCAAAGAUAUACAGGAGGUUUUAGGUAGGUCAAAAGUCCUUUGUCGGUGUGAAUUAGAAAUGAAUUAUUAAUAUCUGGUACAUGAGGUACAUAUCUGAAUUAUUAGGACAGUCGAGAAGUGCCUUUUGCCCGCCUAAAAAUUAAAAAAAAAAAGCCACAAACAAAAGCAGUUCCUACUACGAAAUUUCAGCUCUCGAUACCGUCAAUUUCUAGACUGAAAAGUAGGAAUUUUUACAAUAUGAUAUUAAAAAAAAAAAAAGAAACAUUUUUGUUCGAUAACACCUAUGGUGUGCCUUUAUAAUGUACAAAAUAAUACUUAAUAUUAACGUUUUUUGACAACGAUUUAGUUAUUUAUAUUUAUUUGUGUGUAUAUACAUAUAUAUAAUAUUAUUAUAUCGUUUUAGAUUGUAUUCGAAUAUUAUUAAUUGAAGCCUUGGGAUUGUUUCGCUUCGUUACAUACCACAACGUUUUUUUCUUUUUAGUUCCUAUGUUAUGCACAGUUGUACUAUUUAUAUUAUAAUUUCACCAGUUUUUUUUUUAGUUUGAAUACAAUCUCAAAAAAAAAGUUUUGAGUAAAAAAAGGAAGAAAAUUGAAACAAAAUGCUCAAAUAACAAUACUUUAUUAAUAGAAAAGAGUGUGUAAGUACAUAGAUGUUAGUUUAAUAAAAAAGAUACGGUUUUCUUAGGCCGAACUUUAGGGUUUGGUGGAUUAGUAGCAGUUUACCUCAAGACAUACACAUUCCCAUAUUAUUUUAUGUUAAAGUUUCUGAGUUUUAUUAAUGAAUUUUAAGCCUGUCUAGAAGGGGUUGUUUAUAGUAGUAUAAACUAAUAAUAUGUACCUUAAAAAUAAGCCACUAUCAAAAUCAGAAGAUCAGUCUGCAUCAAGAAGAAUUUAAUUGUAUUUUUUGAGGUAUCAGUUACUGCACUCAAUUUUUUUUAAAACCUACUGGAGAAACUUAAAUUGCCACAUCUU